GCCUGUUGAGCGCGCGCCUUCCAACGGUCAUCAAAACCCCCAACGCCCUCCAGCAAAGCAGGAGUCAAGCCAAGUUUCUUUAUGUCAGGUCCCAGCUUCGCUUCACACAAGGACUUGGACUUGUAGCUUUUGGCAAGCACACACACUAGACUGGCCUAGGAGUAUGGAGAUUGGUGCUUACUCUGUGAUCCUGUGCCUGCCAUGGACUUCACUGCUCAGCAUCUGUCUCCCUCCCUGAAGCCUGCUCACAGUUGUUUCCUCAGCUCUAUCACAGUGUCAAAUAGACCUCCCUCCAAUGAAUAUUCAGAAUGAUGUUUUCAUUUAUUAGGUUGAAGCAUUUAAGGGAAAUAGUUUAAGUUGGGUAUGCUUUAGAAAAUGAUCAUAUAGAGCAUUGGGUCUGGCAGCUCUGUAGAAAGAAGCAGCUGAAAGUGUUCCUCCCUCUGUUUGUAUGCUUCUGGAAGCCGUCAGAGGCCAUCUGUCAGACCAACCUGGCCUGUCUUCUGUGCUGUCACACAGGGCUGGGGCAUGUGGGCAGAAUUAAUGUGCCAGGCGAGAGGAAAGUAAGUACUGGUAUACAAAGACAAAAGGACUUCCAUCCUGUUUAUUCCAUUAAAUCUUCACAUUUAUUUAUUAGACAUGUGUCAUGUUUAGGUUAUAGAAAAGAAGAAAAAAAAUGUUCCUUUAAGCCCCGGUCCCAGCAGAGGCUGGGCAGACCUAUCGCCAUUUCCCUCCUGCUAGCCCUUGAAAUGGAAGAUGCAAUCUUGGGUUUGAGCUGAGCUGCCUGACACGUGUCAACCUCUAGAAAAUUAGCAGGUGUAUCACACAGCAGCUUUCAACGUGCUGUGAAAAGAAGUCUCCGGCACUCGUGGCUCCAAGUCUGCCUGGAAAUCAAAAGUGCUGUUUGCCCCAGCGUCUUAGACUGGCAUGCCCAGCCAGCUCGCAAUGUUGACCAGAGCUGCCCAACCCUAGACAACCAGGACUGUGAUAAGACGGCCUAUUACUGUGAACCGCUGACUGUUCAAGAAUUUUGUCAUUGUGGCCGCCAGAAUUCUUUUGUAGUUACGAUCCAUUAGUGUACAGAUUGCUCCAUUGGCAUGCCUGUCACUAGGAAUGGACUUGGCUCCACCAACCUCACUCUCUGUUUGUCCUAGAAAAUCAGACCCAUAUUUCAUGACAUUUUAGUUGCCAGUUCUGAAUACCUGGGAGACACUUUUCAGAUAUCCAUGGGAUUUAAGGAGGCCCACGAGGUGAAGCGAAGGAACUGGGAUCAUUUAGGUGCACCUUAAGAAAGUGGCAGGCAUACACCUGCACCCAGGUCACCUGGGUCACUCAGGCUAGCAGGCAUGCUCAUCUGGGUUUACACAGAGAAGUGAGGACACUGCACCUUACAGAGUGGUGACACACAGAAUUGGGACAUAAGUAAGUCAUGGUUUGUAACAACCAGCUAUGAGGAUUAACAACAAUAACCAAGGCUAGCAAAGUUUUAACCUAGGAUAAAUGGACCUGUAGCUACAAAAACAGAUGCACCUGGAGAUGUUGUCCAUCCUCCACUGCCAGUGGGAAUAUAAAUUGAUUUGGACCAUUAGAAACCUUAGAAGUCAGUGGAGGUUACUUUGUAGAGCAAAAGCCCUCAUCAGUAAUGUGCACAUGCUCACAUCAGAAGAGCUGAUGGCCUGCUGCUGGAUAUGUUCAACAUAUCAAAAGUCUUAGCAGGGCCAGUGCCACGCCUGUGAGGAGAAGGCUACUUUUAGAAAGACCAGGUAUACUAUACAUCCUGAAAUUGAAGGACAGUCAAUUCCAAAAAGGAAUUUCUCUUUACUUUCCUUGACUUUAAAAGGUCAAACAGAGGGGCUGGAGGACUUGAAGAGCUGCUGGUUGAGAUGUAAGAACACAGGCUGUUCUUGUAGAGGAGCCAGGUUCAGUUCCCAACACCCACAUGUUGGCUCAAACCCAACCAUAACACCCGUUCCAGGAAUCUGAUGCCCUCUUUUGACCUCUGCAGUCAACAAGCAUACACAUGUUGAGCAGACAUACAUGCAGGCAAAACAUCUAUACACAUAAAUAAAAUAAAAAUUAAACAGGUAGCAGAGUGUUAACUAGGAAACAGCCCUAUUUAUAGUCACCGAAGAAUACAGCAUAGCUCUGGUUGACAUAGAUACUAAGUAAUUUUGCUAGCUCAUCUCGGAUGCUAUAUCUUUUCAGAGAUUCAGCUACUAGAAAAGAGAUUACAUUUGUUUUCUGAGAACUUUGUUAAGAACCUCCCUGGGAUUGGAGAGAUGGUUCAGCAGUUAAAAUCAUUGACUGUUCUUCCAGAGGAUGUAGGUUCAAUCCCUAGCACCCACAUGACAUUCACAACUAACUGCCUGUGACUCUAGUCCCAAGGGUUACUAUGCCCCCAUCAUGCUCCAGGCAUCCACAUGGUACAUAAACAUACAUGAAGGAAAAACACCCAUACACAUAAAUAAUAAAAGUGUUCAACUGUCUUCAUCACAAACAGCAACCCUGACAGUUUCUGACUUACCCAUGUCACGCAUGUCUACCAGCCUGCAUUCACAAGUAAGUUCCUUCUGUUUUUUUAAGUGACACAUUUGUGGUCACUGACACCAUGAAAUAACUACUAAAAUGAGUAGUGUCUUAAAAGUAUACAAAAGUAAUUAUUUAUGAAUUCAAGGUAAUAAAUGAUGUGACACAAUAUGGUUGUUAUAAGGAUGAAACAGAAUAAGGCAGAAAAGGCCAGUUAUUAGAUACUGAGCUAUUGAUGUAUCGAAUGAUUUACUUAAAGCACUUUUUGCGUGGCCUGUCUGCCAAGCAUGACUUCACUGCUACCUGGAACAGAAUGACCUGGAGAAAUAGCUGAGACAAUGGGCCUUUCCCUUAACAACCUGCUGACUGACAUGUGUGCUCUGUAAAAUCUUGCCUGCUUGCCCGCCCCACCUUGUGGUUUUAGAAUAUGAAAUGAGAGUGCGAACUGGACCCAACAUUGAUGCCUUUCACGAGCUUCCUGGCUUUGGUCCACUGGUGGCAUCUCCUCUCUUCCACUCUUAUUGUGGGAGUGCUUAUUCCAGAAAGAUUCCCACAAGAAUAUAGCAGCUGACAGGUACUCCCAAGAUAAAUUCCAAGCAUGUCCGAAGACAGC
rnacentral:lncRNA from 1 species